UUUAAAUUAUGCUUAAAUAAUAAAAUUAAAUUUAUAUUUAUUCAAUGUAGAUGCACUUAGUAUCUGAAGUUAUUUGUCAAUAACUGGUAAUCAGACUUUCAAACGAACACGUUUUUAAGGGCUGAGAAGGUGAAAGUUAGAAGUCUGCAGACUGCAACGUAAAUCAAUUUUCAACACAUGGUUUUCUGAAUAUAUUUAGUUUUCGAUUGAAAUGAGAAUAAACUGAACUUAUAGAUAUGUUGAAAAUUAA